AGCGCUGCCGGCGCUAUAUAAAGGGAAGCGAUUGUAAUAGUUUCGCCUACAGUUUUGAAUAGCUGACGCUAUAAAAUAUUCAUGGUUUACGACUUCGUACCUAUUUCAAGAAGCGUAUUCCAUAAAAGGUAGAAGAUGUAGCGACGCCUAUUCUGUUUAGCGAUUGAAAUAACAGAUAAAUUAGCUACAAAGGGUAAGGUUUAAUCGCUAGAUUUUGAUUCUAGUAACGGCGCAAGUCGUGGGAUUAUAUAGAUAUAUUAGCAAUAAUAUAACAAGUAGGGCAAUUUGGAUUAAGACGCUUGAUAAUAUAUAUAGCUGUAGAAGGCUAACUAUAAAUA
ncrna:unclassified sequences throat-1 RNA